rnacentral:rRNA from 1 species
AACGAACGCUGGCGGCAUGCCUAACACAUGCAAGUCGAACGAGACCUUCGGGUCUAGUGGCGCAUGGGUGCGUAACGCGUGGGAACCUGCCCUUAGGUCCGGAAUAACUCCCCGAAAGGGGUGCUAAUACCGGAUAAUGUCCUCGGACCAAAGAUUUAUCGCCUUUGGAUGGGCCCGCGUUGGAUCAGCCAGAUGGUAGGGUAAAACCCUACCAGGGCGACGAUCCAUAGCUGGUCUGAGAGGAUGAUCAGCGACACUGGGACUGAGACACGGCCCAGACUCCUACGGGAGGCAGCAGUGGGGAAUAGUGGACAAUGGGCGGAAGCCUGAUCCAGCACUGCCGCGUGAGUAAUGAAGGCCUUAGGGUUGUAAAGUUCUUUUACCCGGGACUGUAAUGACAGUACCAAGAGAAUAAGCUCCGGCUAACUCCGUG